UCCCAAAACAUCAAACUUCCUUCGUAUUUUCACGUUUCCACAUCAAGUAAGGUAGACCAUUGGGUGGAAACUUUUCUGUGCUUCCUGAGACCUCCUAACUAGCCUGAAACACAGUUCCAUGCUGGCCAUGAGGUACAGUGCCAACAGGAAAAACUAAAAAUGAAAAGGAUAGGUGGAUCUAUCCAAGCAGAAGGAAAACUGACAGGUGACCCAAACAUUUAUGGAGCUGAGGCAAAGCUUUCCAAAACUUGAAUUCAUCUAGACAGC